UCAAACCGGCGUAAGCCAGGUUGGUUUCUAUCUUUAAAUAAUUAUCAUAUUUUAGUACGAAAGGAUUAAAUAUGAAAAAUAAUUUUUUGAAAAAGAAUUAAAUUAAU
rnacentral:rRNA from 1 species